CAGGAAUAAUUGAGAAAUCAGUUAGUUCUUCGGAACCUGCUACGAGGUGCUGCAUGGUUGUCGUCAGCUCGUGCCGUGAGGUGUCGGCUUAAGUGCCAUAACGAGCGCAACCCCCAUCGACAGUUGCUAACAGGUCAGGCUGAGGACUCUGUCGAGACUGCCGGCGCAAGCUGUGAGGAAGGCGGGGAUGACGUCAAAUCAGCACGGCCCUUACGUCCGGGGCGACACACGUGUUACAAUGGCGGGGACAGCGGGAAGCCACCUGGCGACAGGGAGCGGAACCCGAAACCCCGUCUCAGUUCGGAUUGGAGUCUGCAACCCGACUCCAUGAAGCUGGAUUCGCUAGUAAUCGCGCAUCAGCCACGGCGCGGUGAAUACGUUCCCGGGCCUUGUACACACCGCCCGUCAAGCCAUGGAAGCCGGGAGUGCCUGAAGUUCGUGACCGCAAGGAGCGACCUAGGGUAAAACCGGUGACUGGGGCUAAGUCGUAACAAGGUAGCCGUACCGGAA
rnacentral:rRNA from 1 species